UACGGAGGGUGCGAGCGUUGUCCGGAAUCACUGGGCGUAAAGGGCGCGUAGGCGGCCUGAUAAGUCGGGGGUGAAAUCCUGUGGCUUAACCGCAGGGCUGCCUUCUAAACUGUCGGGCUAGAGCACAGUAGAGGCAGGUGGAAUUCCCGGUGUAGCGGUGGAAUGCGUAGAGAUCGGGAAGAACAUCAGUGGCGAAGGCGGUUGCCUGGAGCGUUGCUGACGCUGAUGCGCGAAAGCGUGGGGAGCGAUCCGG
rnacentral:rRNA from 1 species